CAGUCAGAAACCAUUUCUCUUCCGGGGGGAACCUCAACGGGUACUAUCCAGGUGUCUGGUUCUUUGUGUAUACACCCACUCAAUUGGUUGGCACUUAAAAUAGCCUUUGGGGGUUGAGUAGUCAAGUUGAAGCCGCAGUAGCGAAUUUACUUGGCUUUGACGGCAUUCUCGGUCUUCUUGGGGAGUAGCACCGCCCGGAUGUUGGGUCCUCGUCGUUACGGAAGGCCAGCUGCAGGUGACAGGGGAUGAUGAUGAUAUGGAUGAGCCAGACCUGUGGGAUGCAUCAGUGGUCCUCCUUACAACAGUCAGUGAUGAUGCCACAAGCCCAGUUCACUACCACCCAGUGAGAGUCUCUGUCGUCCUAGAGGGUGAUGUGGUUGUCAAUCUCCCCAGGCUUGCUGAUGCCUUCCUGGUAAUGUUCGGCCUGAUUUAUGCACUACAUCUCAGCUAUCCCAAGGGACUGACAAACACUUUUGAGUUCACACAGAAAAUCUUACUUGGUCUUGAUGACUCUAAACUGUCACCCAAGCUGCAGAAUCUUAAAAAUGAGCUGAUGUUGUAUGUGUAACUGAAGAUCCAAAAAGGAGUGGUGGAUUCUGAUGGCUCACUCUGUUAGAGCAUAGUCCAUAAUGAGAAUAUGUCAUGUCAGGUCCAUGUUGAAUACUGUUCAACUGUUUAUGUUAAAGUUGCUGCUCUACUCAACGGGUUUUCAGCCAAAUGGCACAAAGUACACAGUGUCUUUGUACGUUUUAAUGUACAUUUAAUUGUUGUUAAACUGAAAUUCAGGGUUGAAUUAAGUGUUUAUAUAUGGAGGAUAUUUUUAUUCAUAAUUCAAAUUGAAAGGCCAAAGGGAAAACGAAGCGAGAUCAAAUUAAAAAUAUUAUUAUUUUACUACACUACUAGGAAAAAUCAUGCCAUAAUUAAAUUUAAAAAGUCAAAUUUAAAAUGCAAAGCUUCAACUGUCAGCUGGAAGUCGUUUCAGACCCUCCCACCAGCAGUUGGGCCAUGCCUCCUCAUUUAAAUUGACACCUGUCACUUCUAAAUGAAAAGCUUAAAUCAAAAUGUAAAAGGUGAAUCUGAAAAUGUCAAUGUCAAAUGUAAAACGUAAAAUUCAAAAGAUAAAAUGUCGAAUUGAAAAUUAUAAAGGGGAAAGGCUAAAAUAAAACAAUUAUAUUUUAGAUUUUAAUUGAAGUAUUUCCAUUUUAAGCUUUUACAUCAUACAUUUAAUUAUGGCAUGAUUUUUCCUAGUAGCGUAGUAAAAUAAUACUAUUAAUUUGAUCUUGCUUCUUUUUCUCUUUGGACUUUCAAUUUGAAUUAUGAAUAAAUAUAUCCUCCAUAUUUAUACACUAUGGCAUUUUGUUUUUAAAAGGUGUACUAUAUAGCUUUGGGAAGUACAUUUUUAUCAGAAAGGAAAGCUCUUCAUUGAUACAUUUUCAUAAAUAAAUAAACUGUCCUCAAAGUUUCAGGCUACUUUACUUUAAAGUAGCCACCUUUCUAGUUGGAAACAGUGUUAUAGGGACUUUAUUUUCUUCUGAGGAUGGGAUGUUUAUUCAGUUAUGGAAAUGGUUAAAUACUUUUUAUUGUCUUAUUAAUAUUGUUAAUUUUGCUUUUCGAGUUUGAAUUAAUUUUCUAAAACUAUACAGUGCACCCUGAAGUUGCUAGAUUUGAACCAGAUAGCCAAAGGAAGGCUAAACACUGCCUUUGUACAUGUUAAUGUACCGUUUUGAAAUUUUAGCAGUUUUAGUUGUGAAGAAUUUACAAGCAAUUUGUUUAUACAUUGCUGCACUGCAAGUUUACAACCAGAUGGCCAAAAGCGUGGCUUUGUAAUUGUUUAUUUAAUUCUCUUUUUAAUUCUUAAUUAUUUGUAUUACUAUUAUUGUUAUAUUACUAUUAUUAUUAAAUAGAUUGUUUCAUUUUGUGCUAAAAGGCACAGGUGUGGGCAAAUAAUCUUUCUAAACAAAUGUUUGGUCACCACCCAAGACUUGCUGAUGCCCUCCUGGUAAUGUUGUAUUAACAGUUUAUAAGCUAUUUGUGAUAUAAUGAUAUUUUCUUAAUGUAAUUUUAGCUUUUCUGAGUUUGAAUAUGUUCUACUAUUACAUAGUUCAUCUUAAAGUAUAAACAAAAUGCCCAGAAGUAGACUUGUUAAUUGUUAUUUUUUAUUAAUGUUUUUUUAUUUCAUAUUUUUUUGCUAAAAGACUGGGCAAGAAAAGUUUAUACUAAACGUCUGAAUAGAUGAUGUUUUUUUGUUUGACCUUUAAGUCAAGAGUACUUAUUAUUUUUAAGGCAAUCAGUUGCCACAAAUAUUUUAAGUUUGGUGGUAAAUGAUUUUGAGUUGUAACAAGUCUAUGCUUUUGAGUUAUGGGUAAUCAGAAGAUUGAUUGAAAAAACGAAUAAAUGUUAAGUUAACUCAGGA